CUACGGGUGGCUGCAGUGAGGAAUAUUGCACAAUGGGGGGAACCCUGAUGCAGCAACGCCGCGUGGAGGAUGACGCAUUUCGGUGUGUAAACUCCUUUUAUAUGUCAAGAAAAUGACGGUAGCAUAUGAAUAAGCACCCGCUAACUCCGUGCCAGCAGCCGCGGUAAUACGGAGGGUGCAAGCGUUAAUCGGAAUCACUGGGCGUAAAGGACGCGUAGGCGGGUUGGAAAGUCAGGUGUGAAAUCCUACAGCUUAACUGUAGAACUGCACUUGAAACUUCUAAUCUAGAGUAUGGGAGGGGGAGAUGGAAUUAGUGGUGUAAGGGUAAAAUCCGUAGAUAUCACUAGGAAUACCUAAAGCGAAGGCGAUCUCCUGGAACAUUACUGACGCUAAGGCGUGAAAGCGUGGGGAGCAAACAGGAUUAGAUACCCCCGUAGUC
rnacentral:rRNA from 1 species